UACGUAGGGGGCUAGCGUUGUCCGGAAUCAUUGGGCGUAAAGCGCGCGCAGGCGGUCCUUUAAGUCUGAUGUGAAAGCCCACGGCUCAACCGUGGAGGGUCAUUGGAAACUGGGGGACUUGAGUGCAGAAGAGGAAAGCGGAAUUCCACGUGUAGCGGUGAAAUGCGUAGAGAUGUGGAGGAACACCGGUGGCGAAGGCGGCAUCCUGGACCAACACUGACACUGAGGAGCGAAAGCCAGGGGAGCAAACGGG
rnacentral:rRNA from 1 species